UAUAACGAAACACUGUGUGUUUAACAGGUCACGGGAGAACCAAGUUCUGGCGCCUCUCAUCCUAUACCUAAGGCAGUUGGAGUGGAUGAUUCCAAGCAGGAUUAACUUUGGAAGAAUUGGAAAAAGCAAAUAUCGGUUAUGUCUUCCUUGAGACUAUGCAGGUUUAUCUAGCCAUUGGCAAAAUGAUGUGUGCUACCUAUAUCAUCUUGGUUAAUUUAGUUUGUGGAGAUUUGAAUAAUGUAAACUGAACCUUCUUACAUUUUUAUCGUUAACUUGUAAAUCUCUGUUAGAAGCACACAUGACAUCUGAUUGUGUCUCCAACUUUGUAAUCGCUCUUCAGCCAUGUUAUGUAUUUGGAAGUGUCGAAUUAUGACUUAAUAGAUGUCAGUAGCGCAGACAAGAGUGGGUUGCUCUAGUGGUAAUUACCCUCCACUUCCAACCAAGAGGUUGUGAGUUCGAGUCACUCCAAGAGCAAGGUGGGGAGUUCUUGGAGGGAGGGAUGCCGAGGGUCUAUCGGAAACAGCCUCUUCCCCGGGGUAAAGUCUGCGUACACACUAUCCUCCCCAAACCCCACUAGUGGGAUUAUACUGGAUUGUUGUUGAUAUCUUAAUGCCUCGUGUCCCCUGUGUUGUUCUUGACUCUUUGCAGUCUAUGACCACACCACUGUAUGAGAUUGUAAGAGGAGUAAAUUGAACCGACUUUAGCUUCCCUAGUACCUACUCUGUAAUUGGCGGAAUCUUUCUUCUUCCUCCAGAAAGAGUAAAUCCUUUACACCGAUAUGUCGUACUCCUUUGCAGUGGCGUAGCCACUUGAAAAGUAUAUACUGUAUAUAUAGUAAUUUUUAUUGCGUUUAUAUGUCAAAAAAUAUUGUUAUGUGUAUAUUAAAUUUGGCGAAUUACUAGCUUAGCCAUUGCUCCUUUAACCAGGUUGCCCGACAGAUUAUGUGCAAGAUGGGUCGGAAACUACUUAAUCAAAAGAGAAUAAAGUGUCAGCUUUCAAGCAUUAGCUAAAUGGUAGUUAAUAUUUAUUUUCGUUUGUAUUUGAUAUCUUUUUCUUGCUUAACUGGCAAAUGAAGAUCUACCAUAACGAUUUUGUGGGAUCCUUCACAACUGGAAUGCUUUUAUCUGCAGUUUUGGGGGCCAUUUUGUUGAAUAUGAUGUAUAUUUCGUUUUUUCUUGGAUAUGUCUUUUAAAGUUGUGGACAUGUGGUUUUUAUUCAAUUGAUUCAAUGACAUUCAACUUAGAAAAAUGUUUGCUUUUGUCAAAAGGUGAAAGGUAUAGGCUCGAGUCCUCUUUAUCAAUUUUGUUUGCCAAGUCUAUGACAAAUUUUUACUAGGAUAGGUUUUACUUUAGGCCAUAUGAGUUGUGAGUUUGAAAAAAGAGGCACUU
rnacentral:lncRNA from 1 species